AUUGAACGCUGGCGGCAGGCCUAACACAUGCAAAUCGAGCGGAGCGGCGGAAGGGUGAGUAAUACCUAGGCAUCUGACUGAUAGUGGGGGAUAACGUUCGGAAACGGACGCUAAUACCGCAUACUAACAGAUGAGCCUAGUUCGGAUUGGCUAGUUGGUGGGGUAAUGGCUCACCAAGGCCACGAUCCGUAACUGGUCUGAGAGGAUGAUCAGUCACACUGGAACUGAGACACGGUCCAGACUCCGCCGUGAGGCAGCAGUGGGGAAUAUUGGACAAUGGGCGAAAGCCGGAUCCAGCCAUGCCGCGUGUGUGAAGAAGGGCUUCGGAUUGUAAAGCACUUUAAGUUGGGAGGCGUUACCGACAGAAUAAGCACCGGCUAACUCUGUGCCAGCAGCCGCGGUAAUAC
rnacentral:rRNA from 1 species